GACGAACGCUGGCGGCGUGCUUAGCACAUGCAAGUCGAACGGAAAGGCCCUGCUUUUGUGGGGUGCUCGAGUGGCGAACGGGUGAGUAACACGUGAGUAACCUGCCCUUGACUUUGGGAUAACUUCAGGAAACUGGGGCUAAUACCGGAUAGGAGCUCCUGCUGCAUGGUGGGGGUUGGAAAGUUUCGGCGGUUGGGGAUGGACUCGCGGCUUAUCAGCUUGUUGGUGGGGUAGUGGCUUACCGAGGCUUUGACGGGUAGCCGGCCUGAGAGGGUGACCGGCCACAUUGGGACUGAGAUACGGCCCAGACUCCUACGGGAGGCAGCAGUGGGGAAUAUUGCACAAUGGGCGGAAGCCUGAUGCAGCAACGCCGCGUGCGGGAUGACGGCCUUCGGGUUGUAAACCGCUUUCGCCUGUGACGAAGCGUGAGUGACGGUAAUGGGUAAAGAAGCACCGGCUAACUACGUG
rnacentral:rRNA from 1 species